GAUGAACGCUGGCGGCGUGCCUAUACAUGCAAGUCGAGCGAACAGACGAGGAGCUUGCUCCUUCGACGUUAGCGGCGGACGGGUGAGUAACACGUAGGUAACCUACCUAUAAGACUGGGAUAACUUCGGGAAACCGGAGCUAAUACCGGAUAAUAUUUCGAACCGCAUGGUUCGAUAGUGAAAGAUGGCUUUGCUAUCACUUAUAGAUGGACCUGCGCCGUAUUAGCUAGUUGGUAAGGUAACGGCUUACCAAGGCAACGAUACGUAGCCGACCUGAGAGGGUGAUCGGCCACACUGGAACUGAGACACGGUCCAGACUCCUACGGGAGGCAGCAGUAGGGAAUCUUCCGCAAUGGGCGAAAGCCUGACGGAGCAACGCCGCGUGAGUGAUGAAGGUCUUCGGAUCGUAAAACUCUGUUAUUAGGGAAGAACAAACGUGUAAGUAACUGUGCACGUCUUGACGGUACCUAAUCAGAAAGCCACGGCUAACUACGUG
rnacentral:rRNA from 1 species